GAUGAAGAACGUAGCGAAAUGCGAUAAGUAAUGUGAAUUGCAGAAUUCAGUGGAUCAUCGAAUCUUUGAACGCACAUUGCGCCCAUUAGUAUUCUAGUGGGCAUGCCUGUUCGAGCGUCAUUAAGUCCACUUAAGCCCUGCUUAGUGUUGGGAGACUGCUCCAGCGGUGCUACCCUGUAGCUACCCUGCAGCUCCUCAAAGACAGCGGCGGAGUUGUGGUAUCCUCUGAGCUUAGUAACUUGUUCUAGCUUUCGAGUACACCACUUCCCCUGCCGUAAAACCCUUAAUUUUUAAUGGUUGACCUCGGAUCAGGUAGGAAUACCCGCUGAACUUAAGCAUAUCAAUAAGCGGAGGA
rnacentral:misc_RNA from 1 species